GUAAGGAAUAUUGGACAAUGGACGUAAGUCUGAUCCAGCCAUGCCGCGUGAAGGAUUAAGGUCCUCUGGAUUGUAAACUUCUUUUAUAAGGGACGAAAAAAGGCUUUUCUAAGUCGUCUGACGGUACCUUAUGAAUAAGCACCGGCUAACUCCGUGCCAGCAGCCGCGGUAAUACGGAGGGUGCAAGCGUUAUCCGGAUUCACUGGGUUUAAAGGGUGCGUAGGCGGGCAGGUAAGUCAGUGGUGAAAUCCUAGAGCUUAACUCUAGAACUGCCAUUGAUACUAUCUGUCUUGAAUAUUGUGGAGGUAAGCGGAAUAUGUCAUGUAGCGAUGAAAUGCUUAGAUAUGACAUAGAACACCUAUUGCGAAGGCAGCUUACUACGCAUAUAUUGACGCUGAGGCACGAAAGCGUGGGGAUCAAACAGGAUUAGAUACCCCAGUAGUCC
rnacentral:rRNA from 1 species